UACAGAGGGUGCGAGCGUUAAUCGGAAUUACUGGGCGUAAAGCGCGCGUAGGCGGCUUUGCAAGUCAGGGGUGAAAUCCCCAGGCUUAACCUGGGAACUGCAUUCGAGACUGCAUUGCUAGAGUAUGGGAGAGGGAAGUGGAAUUUCCGGUGUAGCGGUGAAAUGCGUAGAUAUCGGAAGGAACAUCAGUGGCGAAAGCGGCUUCCUGGACCAAUACUGACGCUCAUGUGCGAAAGCGUGGGGAGCAAACAGG
rnacentral:rRNA from 1 species